AUGAUGUGGCCACUGCCGGCUCACGUAGGUUCGUUCGCGUGUUGUUGUUACGCCUCGCUGGAUCGUGUUCAGUCAUGCCGUCCUUCCGCGGCGUUAUUGUCGGCGAGUCAGGUUAAAUUCUUAAAUAGGUCGCGCCUGCGCCUAACUGAGUCUAUGAAAGCCUGCACAUUCAGUUUUGCUGGCUUCAAUGCAGUGCGGCUGGCGUGAGCUGUUUCCACGAUGCGCUUCGAGCGUGUCGAUUUCGCCGUUCUUUAUGUAGGCGGAAACGACCCCCACAAGAAAUAUGCCACAACAUCAAGGCCUUGAUUGUUCAACGAGACGGCCCGCGUCGUGCUGGUUUUCAAGGUGCUCCCUCGCUGCCUAGAAGAUGCUGAUGCGGAACAGAAAAUGCAAAAACGUCGCUUGCUCAACCGCAAAUUGACGGCUACGCUGAAGCGCAUGCCGUGUCUGCGGAAUUUGAACCCCGAGCUUUCCAGAGUUCCUUGGAAAAUCCUCCCAUGCACCUGCCAUGUACAUUGCCCCUCCUCCUCGAUGUGGCGUGCAAGAUGGCAGCAGCAGCUGUGGGAGCAGUUGAAGAGGCAAAGAAAGGUCCACUUUAUAAUAGGUUGUAUGUAAAUAAAACUGAUCGAACUCAACCGAUUCGGCUUCCACUUUUGUCAAGACAAUUGUCAGCAAAGCAAUGGAGCAAUUUCAGUAGGGUGAUACUAAUAAAUAGUGCAUAGAAAUUCUUGGAAGCCCCGUCGGCUUUCUUGCUGUUAACAGGCUGUGUUGGUGAGGUGGUUUAGGCAGGGAAUGCCAAUUCGUGAGGGAUGGUCAUGGCCACCAUGUUCAAUGUAUGUGCAGCAUUAAUCAGUUCUCUAGACCGAGUGCACUAUUGUUGGCAGGCCAGCACUUUGUCACAUGAUACAUUUUCAAACCUCUCAUGCUUUCUUUGGGGCUGAGAAAAUUAAUGAAGCAUGAAACUAAAAUCGGCAUGUUGCAGUUUUCAAUUAACCAUCACUGCAUUUGUCCAUUCUUGAAACAAAUUUUAUUGUACCAAAUGCAUACAGAAUGAAUUUGUGGAAUAUCCAAAGUACAUUUUGCUUGUUUUGGUCAAGCAGCUGGCAGAACAAAACCAAAGUUCCAAAGCAGAAAGGUAACACUUCGAAGUACACAACUGGCAAAACACUGUUGCUAACACACGAGUGCAAAACUUGCCGCCGAUUAAAAAAAGGGAGCUGCUACACACCACUUGGUUCCUUGACCAUUUAUUUUUUCUUUUGUGGCUGAGUUUUAAAAAUCCUUGCUAUAGCAAAUGCAAGGACAUCAGAAAAUCAACGCACAACAGAUAUUGGUGCUAUGGUGUAAAGUAAUGAAGAUAUAAUUUUGCAUGCACAUUAUUUAGUCUGAAAUAGAGGGAUACAAUAAACGUUACUCUUCAAUCCCAAUAAAAAAUAUGGAACUCGUGCGCUACAAGAGGGCUACGGAUAAAUCUUGAGGGCCUCUGAUUAUACCCCUGUCAAGCGGGCAAGUUAAGUGCACUUACGACGAGUGCACUCGGUUUUUAAGUGCACUUUCCCAAAUCUUAACGUCGCAGCGGAGUGUACUCUCAUAUGAGUGCACGCAAGUCGGAGUACGUUCACGGAACGCACUUUGCUGGCCGAGUGCGUAGCCUCGCCGCCAACGGUUUGAAGGAGUGCCUAGCCUCGCCACCAACGCUUUCAGCGACGCAAAAUGUAAUGCAUAGAAAAAGGACACAAAUGUUCAUUUCAGUUAUUGAGCAGCUUUUAACAAUAUAAUUUGUGUUUAGCGAGAAGCGAAACAGCACAACAAAGAAACGAAUUUAUCAUGUACGCAACUAACGGCGCCAGAAUGAUGCGGCAUUGCGGUGCCGCCAUGCUCAUUCAGUUCGUGUUUAUUUUGGUGUGAAAGCGUGCUGACCACGCCGGUCGUGCUUUGAACCGUGUGCGCGGCAUUUUGCAGUGUAGCUUAAUAUCGAACUUGCCGUCUUUGCUCAUAUAUACUCGCUCAUAUGCUGUUUUAGCACGAUUAUGAGCAGGAUCACGGAGGAAGGAAACUAAGGAGAGGCCCUACCCCCUCCGCGCGCUAGGAGAAAAGUGUGGCGGAAAUGACGUAGUAGGUUCUCAUUUUUUUGCUGCUUUUUUAUUUUUUCUGUUGUAUGACCACGCCUUUUGGGCCACAAUGGCGGCGUUGUUAUGGUUCUGAGCGCUCACACGUGUUGCUCUGGUAGGUUUCGGGCCGUGGCAAAGGCGCUGAGUAGGCGGGUUUGCGUUAGCCACCGUGUCUUGUUGCGCUGUGUUACCUGCACCGUGCUCUGCCAGAUGUUGCGCGAGCGCGCGCGCUCCGCGCGCGACACCACGCGCAGCGCGGCGUGGUUUCGGGAAAGAUGUAAACAAGAGAGGAGGGUGGCCCAAAAGGCGGAGCAUCGCCAUGAGCAACGCCAAAUUCCGGCUUCACUUUUGCUUCACAAAGAGUGACGUCAGGGCCUCUCCUUAGUUUCCUUCCUCCGUGAGCAGGAUCAACUGCCGCACACCGCCAUGUUGUUUUGGAUUGGCUAGGCAUUCGUCUUGGCCAGCAUUGACUUGCAACACUUAUAAUAAAAACUUCUUCGUUUUUUGUUGAGACAAAUGGAUGAAGUUUGUUUUUAUAUAUAAUUCAUCUUAAAACAAUCGCUUUUUAGCAGCUUUAUCUUGUUAAUUUACAUCUUUAAAAACGCGCUCUUAGUCUGUCACCAUCUUGUUUUUACUGCGAGUGCACUCUGUUUUCCCGUUAAGAAGCGCGUUGCCUAAAGUGUGACUCAAGGUACCGAAGUGCACUCCCCGUAAGUGCACUUAACUUGCCCGCUUGACAGGGGUAUAAUGUGCAGCUAUACUUAAGUACAGAAGCAUUUUUGGAUUCUGCCUCUACCUGGGUGCAGCUUUGUGACCUGGAAUGAAAAGCCACAGCCAUCGAGCUGCUGCAGUGGCGACAUCACAGUAAGAGGUAAUAGCGAAAAAUUAAAACAAUAAUAUGGCCAUGCAACUUGCACAUCAGAUAGGUCACCUGAAGCUUCUAUUUCCAAUUUUUCUGGUGUUGCAUAGGACAAAAAUUUUGAAAAGUGAUAGUGUACGAUUUUCAUACAUUAACAAUUAGCAUAUCUAGUUAUUUUUUAACCAUGCAGAUAUUUAGCAAAAAGUUUUGAGCACGGAGAGCCCGGCGUUUUUGCAAAGGAGUUUCUAGGUGAGGUGGCCACACUUUGCUGCUAAUGCGAGUUUCAGAAAAUUAAUUUUGAAAAAUUCAGUCACUUUUUUAUUAGUAACUUGGCGGCAGUCUUCUAAAUGGCAUAUUUGGAGGCAGUCGCAUGUGAACGCACACCCUUUCUUUUUCUAAAUCUCGAAAAUUGCACUUAUAUUUGAAAUAUUCAUUAUCGCGCUCAAUUGAGUACAAUCAAAACUUGGUGCAUCCUCCUCCACAUCAGGUGGCAGUGCUCUGUCAAAAAGUGGGACAAAGCUUAAAUGAUAGCCUGACACGGCACACAGACGCACAUGCUUGCCAGGCAAAGUGUGUCGUAUCAGCAGCUACAAUGACUGGCCAAGAUGUUGUUUCAGACUUUCUCGAGCCUGUUGUGGGGGGUGUUUCCAUCUGAUGAGAUAGCGGGACCUUCUUUUCUGCGCUCCCAGCACACUCGGUUCCAAUAUUGCCUCAAUUUACCAGUGAAAUUCAAUGAUUAAUAUAUUGAAUUAGGUGCAACUUUCAAGAUUUGUAAGAAAUGAGAGUGCACUAAAAUGUGACUGCCUCCAAAUUUGUGGAGUUCCAAAAUAGAGGAAUUCCUCUGCAAGAAUGCCACAUUUGCCGCGCUCAUAACUUUAAAACAAGAAAAUCUGUAUGAUAAUAAAAGACACCCUGUACGUAUACAGUGUGUAUUGGAGCAUUUCAUGCAACCAAUAUUCAAGCACCUUCUGUCUACAAAGAUUUCAUAAAGCAAAUUUAUGCAUUAAGACUGGAAUCAGUUACGAGCACUGGAAAUGCAAACACUGUUACGAACCCUGGUCACAUGCCAGGCAUUGUGUUGCUGCUCUCUGCGUAGGGCCUAUGAACAAAAACCACCUUCAACAUCGCACAAGAAACCCCGGCUGGACCUUACCAUCUGAAGCUGCUGCACAAUGGCUAUCACUGGCUUUUGUGGUGUUCUCGAUGGCAUCCACUUGCUUGAGAAGCUCGACCUCAAUGACGUCUGACCACUGGCAGCACUUAUUUCUGUUUAUCACAGAUGAAAAUUGCCUACAAGCUCUUAUUUCGCCCAAAACACAGACUUUUGCCACAUUUAAGAAAGUGGCACUCUCCAAGUCAGUGUGGUCAGCAUGUCUGGCGUGCACUUUCAUCUCCUGCAUCAGAGUGAGUUACUAUCCCAGAUUAAUGUGCUACAGAGAUGACAGAGAGACUGGCGAAGAAGUUGUGCCCAGACAGAUAGAAUGAUAAUAUUUAUGUAUAUUGCAAUUCAAAGCCAUCUAUUAGAGCACCUUGCACCACCAGAGAAAUCCUAAUGGCUUCCUUUUCUUUCAUCUCAUAAUGUGGGCGGUAACACCCCAUUAAAUGGUCCCUAAGAUAGUUUUUGUCAACCCUGAGGAAAUCUCUCACAGAAAACUUGUAGACAGUCUUGAUAAGUGUUGUCACAUUACUUUUCAAUGUGUUCUUUAUCAUCACUGUGGUGGUCGUAAUUUCAAUUCAUGUGCAGCACUCACACAGUGCGCACUCCUUGCAGACAUCUGUAACUAGUGGCAGUUCACCAGCAUACUUGAAGGGAGGAAAAAAGAGCAUGGCCACACCAACCACAUCACAGCAUGUGUAUGCAUCAGAUGACAUUGUGGAACCUAAUUCUAUGUCAGCAGAAAAUGCAUGGCUGCUGUCGCUAUUUCGAGUGCAAAUAUUUGUCCCACGGGUACAGAGAAGUCAUUAUGGCAACCACAUAAUCCAGGCAGCUUAGCGCUGGGCAACUGCAAUAUUUAUGAAGCAGCACACUGCAUUCAAAGCCAGGCACUGUCACACUCGUCUGGGAAAAUCGGUGCUUGUAUACACAGGGGCUGGACCAUUUCAAACCACAGUCACAUUGGAACUCUGUCCACUCUCGUAGGGUGCAUUUUCUGUGUAGUCGCUGCCACUGCAGGAAUAAUUUUCUUCCAACUGCACAAAGAGAAAAUUGCAGCACUGUGCUCUGCAGUGCUUGGUGCAAAGGCAGGACAGCCAUGAGCCUUCUCCCAUCCACAAUUAAAAAAUCCGCCAAUACAUAGAUGGCUUACAGUGGCAUCCCUACAGGCAGCACACACCACCUAAAUGCCGCUACUUAGAUUGCAACACACUGAGGGUCUCCAUGCCUUUAUGUAAAUGCUCAAAUAUACUACAGGACAGGAUCUUUAGGGAAUAAAGGUUGUUUCACGGUCCUCACAUCUAUGCUACGACAAAGCCAACUCCAACUGCACAGGUAGAAAUUGCUGUGGAAAAUUAAGUUUUACAGUUCCAUGUACCAUAUUUUCCAUUCAGUACUAUAGUCUGCAGGAUCUAAUUUGGGCUGAAAAAGCCCCUCUCAUUAAGCACCAUGGCAAAUGGCACCAUGACGAGCCCUGUCUUUUCUUUCUUUUUUUCUUCUCUUCAUUUUUUGCUGUGGGGCACACAUCCAGGGAUGGCAUUUAACAUUGGUUGGCUUACGAAAGUCCUGUGCCAUGGUUGGUGAUAUGGCAGGCAGCACGUUUUACAUAGAGACAUUUGUGCAUGUAACCUUGACUCUGGCUGAAGCAGGGCUUCGUUGAGACCAUGAUGGCUUUUGUUUAAAAUUUCAGCUGUUUUCCCACUGUGCAUCAUUUUGAUAAUUUGGAGACAGGAUUGUUAGUGUGUGAUCUAUGCAUUGCACUUGUCGGUUUGCAACUUCCAAUCUUGGUGAGACGCCUUUUCAAAUAACAAAGUGCGACUGAACUUCCUGAAGGCAUUUGCCUCCUAAGUUCAAGGGAAGCAGCCCACAUCCGCAUACCUUAUUCACAGCUGUCAAUUCUUUUUUUGCUGCUGCUCCGUAUUAAAGAUGGGAACCCAAGACUGUGGAAGUAGCGUGGGCUUGGUGGUCUGGAGCUUACCAUUGGU